rnacentral:tRNA from 1 species
GCCCCAGUAGCACAGCCAGGAUCUGUCAUAACUGACAGUGCAUACGGCUGCUGACCGUAAGGUCGAGGGUUCAAAUCCCCCCUGGGGCA